AGGGUUUUGCUGCUGUUCCUGUUGCUGCUGCAAAGGAGGAAGAGGAAGAGAGAGAGGGGGAGGGCGGGGGGAGAGAAAGCAGACAGACAGACAGACACGCACAAGGCACCCUUUGCUGCUGCUGCUCCGGCUUGCUUGGCCUCCGCCAUGGAGAACGCUCACACCAAGACCGUGGAGGAAGUUUUGGCUUAUUUCGGUGUCAACGAGAGCACCGGCCUCAGCUUGGAGCAAGUCAAGAAGCUCAGGGAGAGAUGGGGUACCAACGAACUACCAGCUGAAGAAGGCAAAACUUUACUUGAGCUUGUGAUCGAACAGUUUGAAGACUUAUUAGUUAGAAUUUUGUUGUUGGCAGCAUGUAUAUCUUUUGUGUUGGCCUGGUUUGAAGAAGGAGAAGAAACAGUCACAGCCUUUGUAGAGCCUUUUGUAAUCUUACUCAUAUUAGUAGCCAAUGCAAUUGUGGGUGUGUGGCAGGAGAGAAAUGCUGAAAAUGCUAUUGAAGCUCUUAAAGAAUAUGAACCUGAAAUGGGUAAAGUGUAUCGACAAGACAGAAAAAGCGUACAAAGGAUAAAAGCAAGAGACAUCAUCCCCGGUGACAUUGUGGAAAUAGCUGUCGGUGACAAGGUUCCUGCUGACAUAAGAAUUACAUCUAUAAAAUCCACAACUCUAAGGGUAGACCAGUCAAUUCUCACAGGUGAAUCUGUAUCCGUAAUUAAGCACACAGAUCCUGUGCCUGAUCCUCGUGCAGUGAACCAAGACAAAAAGAACAUGCUCUUUUCUGGUACGAACAUUGCUGCAGGCAAAGCCAUGGGUGUGGUUGUGGCAACUGGCGUGAACACAGAAAUCGGUAAAAUUCGUGAUGAAAUGGUUGCUACUGAGCAAGAGAGGACCCCGCUUCAGCAGAAGCUGGAUGAAUUUGGGGAGCAACUGUCCAAGGUCAUCUCACUGAUCUGCAUUGCUGUGUGGAUCAUCAACAUUGGCCAUUUCAACGAUCCUGUCCAUGGCGGCUCCUGGAUUCGGGGUGCCAUCUACUACUUCAAAAUCGCUGUUGCGCUUGCUGUGGCUGCCAUCCCAGAGGGCUUGCCUGCUGUCAUUACUACCUGCUUGGCCCUGGGCACACGCCGAAUGGCCAAGAAGAAUGCUAUUGUUCGAAGCCUACCAUCCGUGGAAACCCUGGGCUGUACUUCUGUCAUUUGCUCGGACAAGACCGGCACUCUGACCACCAACCAGAUGUCAGUUUGCAGGAUGUUUGUUGUGGACCGAGUGGAAGGGGAUAGCUGUUCUCUGAAUGAAUUUACAGUGACUGGGUCAACAUAUGCCCCCUUGGGAGAAGUGCAUAAAGAUGACAAACAGGUCAAAUGCUGUCAGUAUGAUGGUCUUAUAGAACUGGCAACCAUCUGUGCCCUUUGCAAUGAUUCUUCUCUGGAUUUCAACGAGACAAAAGGCGUGUAUGAGAAGGUUGGUGAAGCCACAGAGACUGCUCUCACUUGCCUGGUCGAGAAGAUGAAUGUCUUUGACACAGAGUUGAAAGGGCUGUCCAGAAUUGAACGGGCAAAUGCUUGUAACUCGGUGAUAAAGCAACUCAUGAGGAAAGAGUUCACCCUUGAAUUCUCAAGGGACAGGAAGUCCAUGUCGGUGUACUGCACUCCAAACAAGCCCAGCCGGACAGCCAUGAGCAAGAUGUUCGUUAAGGGUGCUCCCGAAGGUGUGAUUGACAGGUGUACGCACAUCCGGGUUGGAGGCACAAAAGUGCUGCUGACACCAGGAAUUAAGCAGAAGAUCAUGUCGGUCAUCCGAGAGUGGGGCACGGGCAGAGACACUCUACGAUGUCUGGCGCUGGCGACUCACGACAAUCCACCAAGGAGAGAAGACAUGAAACUGGAGGAUUCAGCAAACUUCGUUACUUAUGAGACCAAUUUGACCUUUGUGGGUUGUGUGGGGAUGCUGGAUCCCCCCCGAAUUGAAGUGGCUUCGUCCAUUAAGUUAUGCCGACAAGCUGGUAUCCGUGUUAUUAUGAUAACCGGGGACAACAAGGGAACCGCGGUGGCCAUCUGUCGUCGUAUUGGCAUCUUUGGGGAAGAUGACGAUGUCACUUCCAAGGCCUUCACAGGCCGUGAAUUUGAUGAACUUUCCCUGGCUGCCCAGAGGGAUGCCUGCCUAAAUGCUCGCUGCUUUGCCCGUGUGGAGCCUUCCCACAAAUCUAAGAUUGUUGAGUUUCUCCAGUCUUUUGAUGAGAUCACAGCUAUGACUGGUGAUGGGGUAAAUGACGCUCCAGCCCUGAAGAAAGCUGAGAUUGGAAUUGCUAUGGGGUCAGGCACAGCAGUGGCAAAGACCGCUUCAGAAAUGGUGCUGGCAGACGACAAUUUCUCAACCAUUGUUGCCGCUGUGGAAGAGGGCCGUGCAAUCUACAAUAACAUGAAACAAUUCAUUCGCUACCUCAUCUCUUCCAACGUUGGGGAAGUUGUCUGUAUCUUCCUGACUGCUGCUCUGGGUUUCCCUGAAGCUUUAAUUCCUGUCCAGCUGUUGUGGGUCAAUCUUGUGACUGAUGGACUUCCAGCCACAGCAUUGGGCUUCAACCCUCCUGAUCUGGACAUCAUGAACAAACCGCCUCGCAAUCCCAAAGAGCCCCUGAUCUCUGGGUGGCUCUUCUUCCGUUACUUGGCAAUUGGAUGCUACGUUGGAGCUGCUACAGUGGGAGCCGCUGCUUGGUGGUUUAUUGCAGCGGAUGGUGGCCCGAGAAUUACCUUCUACCAGCUGAGCCACUUCUUGCAGUGCAAAGAUGACAAUCCAGACUUCGAAGGGGUUGACUGUGUGGUCUUUGAGUCUCCAUAUCCAAUGACAAUGGCACUUUCUGUCUUGGUCACUAUAGAGAUGUGCAAUGCUCUCAACAGCCUAUCAGAGAACCAAUCCUUACUACGGAUGCCUCCCUGGGAGAACGUCUGGCUGCUGGGAUCCAUUUGCUUGUCCAUGUCUCUGCAUUUCCUCAUUCUUUAUGUGGAGCCACUGCCACUGAUCUUCCAAAUCACACCUCUGAAUCUAACCCAGUGGCUGAUGGUGUUGAAAAUCUCGCUGCCUGUCAUUAUGCUGGAUGAGACACUUAAAUUUGUGGCGCGUAACUACCUAGAGCCUGGUAAAGAUAUUGAGCCACCCACCACCAAACCACGUUCUCUGUCUGCAUGUACCGAAGGGAUUUCCUGGCCAUUUGUGUUCAUUACCUUGCCUUUGCUUAUCUGGCUGUAUAGCACAGAUACUAACUUUAGUGACAUGUUCUUGUCUUGACCUGAAGUGAUAAGUUUGACAGAGAGAUGUUUAACUUAAUCAAUUUUUUUAAUUGUUUAAAGCAAUUGUCUUAUUCUGCUGAAUUUUCACAUGAACAUAUUUGCCAGUGACUGAGGUUUCAUAUUCUAGACUUCUGGGUUUUCCUUUUUCCCUAACUCCAGUGAGGGAGCAGUAUUCCCCCUCCCCCCCCCUUUUAUACACGACUAGGGUGUCCAUUGACAUGUACAGAGAAAUUUAACACUAUUUUAUGCAAAUAUUUUUUGUAGAGGAGAAGCAUGUACAGUGUUCUGUUUAAUAGUUAACUCAUCCUUGUAAAAACAAAAUGGGAGGGGGAGUGUUUUGCAAGGGGUGGGACUUGCCAGUGGACACUUUUGAGCAAACUUCAAUUGGUAGCAGAUUUUAGGGAAUGAAUGUCCUUGUACGUUUUUUAUUUUCUUGAAUUAAAAGCAUGCAAUUGUGUGUCUCUUCUGCAUGGUCAUCUAAUCUUAAUUUGUCAUUUAGUUGGGGUUUUUUCUGCACUGGGCAGAUCAUACUGCUACCUCAGUAUCUCCUUUUUUUAUUUUCACCCUCCCCAUUGCCAUCUCCUUAGGCGCCAACAGAAAUCUGAGGCCUCUUUUUUUUUCUUCUUUUUUUACUGGUGCAGAAAAUACAAUUCCAGGUGUAACCUGUUUUCCCCCCUCCCCCCACCUCAACACAUGCAAGGUUUUUUUAAAAGAUUUAUUUAUUUAAAUAUCUUAUGUAUUUUUAUUGUUAACAGCAUUGCCCACUCUGGGAGGGUGGUGGGGAGGAACGCAUGAGGGAGAAGGCUUCCUGGAUGAACUUCAAGCAAGCAACAAAAAAUAAAUAAACUUUUUUAAAACUGAGAAAUCUAUAGGUUUUCUUCUUUGGUUUCUCUCCCCCCCCCCCAACCCCCCGGUAAAAAAAACAAACCCAAAACAAAAACCUCUUGGAGGCUGAGUUCUAUUUUAACUGGCAGAUUUAAUAUGUCAGGUUUCCUCUCUUUUAAUUUUAAAUAAUAAAAUUGGGGCAUUUGUCAUGGGGACCUGGAAACCAACGAUCAGUUCUCAUUUGCAUAGCCAGAGUUCUCAUUGUCUUUUGUUCAGCCUCUGUCAGUGCCACAUCUUGGUAUAUUAGUCUGCUGGCCACGUUCUAGCCUGAAAUGGAGAAGUAACAAAGUGUUUGUGUGUGUGUGUGUUGUAAAAUCUGUAAAUACCACAUGACCAAAUGAACAUAUUGUAUAGAACUAUUUUUAUUUUAAUGUGGCACUAACCACCAUCAUUCUAUGACGAUGUUGCAUGUUGUGUUUUUUCUCCUCCUCCAAACUGAGUCCCGUACCAACAAUGUGUAAGUUCAUUAACAGUCCUAACUGUGUGGUGUUUCUCUCCAAUGCCUUCCAACAUUCAUCGACUGAACAAUGCUGGAGUAAUCACUUAGUCCUAAACAAAUUUUGCAGACAUGUAAGGUUCAUUUUGUUCCGUGCAUGCGUCUUUAGCAACGCAUCUACCGAAAACAUCUGCAUGACUCUUGUAAACAAAAAGAUAUUUCCCUAGGGAGGGAGGAAAAUGAUAGAACUGAAAGCUUGUGUUCUGUGAAGGAAGUGUGUGGUGCUCUUAAAGCUUCAGUUUAUAUACAGAUCUACUAAUGUGCAAUAUAGUUUUUAACUGAUAAAUCAGACCUCUGCAAGGAAGUUUUUGGGUUAUUUGCUGCAUGAAGAAAAGUCUCCCUAAACUCAGCAAGAAUUAAAGAGUGGUGAACGGCUGAGUUAUCUUGUUGACCUCCAUGUCUCAUUGUGUAAAAUGUCAUCGUUUAUAAAAUGUACAAUAUUGGACUGUAACUGCAUGCUUUUCAGUUGUAAGUAGCCAAUGAUCUCUAUUGUAUCUUAAUACCUUAAACAGCUCUGUACAAUAUGCAAUUCUAUUUAUACGGAUUCAUUGACAACGGUACUGUUGUUGAAUGUUUAAGAAACUGUUAAAACCUUCAAUUCCAUAACUUCAGCUUUUCUUUUUUCUUUUUUAAAUAUCUUGGAGUGUGCAAAUAGGUCUAUUUUGCACUGUAAUGAUGUAACUUAUUUAAAUCUAAAGCCGUAGUCACACUUUGGUGCAAUACGUAUGUUGUGAUGCAUUCUAACAACAACCAACCCUAAUAAUGAACCGACUCAGUUCAUAAAUCGGCAUGUGUGACUUUUUUUUUGUAGAAGUUGUAAAUAACAUGUCUGAUUCAAUACUGAUGACGAACAUCACACCUACCACUCUGGUAUUGGGUAAAAUAAACUUAUUCUACGAUACAGA